rnacentral:rRNA from 1 species
UACGGAAGGCAGCAGUGGGGAAUAUUGCACAAUGGGCGAAAGCCUGAUGCAGCGACGCCGCGUGGGGAUGACGGCCUUCGGGUUGUAAACCUCUUUCAGCAAGGAAGAAGCGAAAGUGACGGUACUUGCAGAAGAAGCGCCGGCUAACUACGUGCCAGCAGCCGCGGUAAUACGUAGGGCGCAAGCGUUGUCCGGAAUUAUUGGGCGUAAAGGGCUUGUAGGUGGCUUGUCGCGUCUGCCGUGAAAACUCGAGGCUUAACCUUGGGCGUGCGGUGGGUACGGGCAGGCUAGAGUGCGGUAGGGGAGACUGGAAUUCCUGGUGUAGCGGUGAAAUGCGCAGAUAUCAGGAGGAACACCGAUGGCGAAGGCAGGUCUCUGGGCCGUUACUGACACUGAGAAGCGAAAGCAUGGGGAGCGAACAGGGAUUAGAUACC